AAUGUUCUAAAGCCUUGUGGAACCAGCCUGUCGUAGGCGGUUGAAAUAGCAGGGAAAGUCCAGUGCAAUUCUGGCACUGUCGCGCAACGGUGAAAGUCCGAAUGCCUGUCCACAAGUUAUCACACCCUU
rnacentral:ncRNA from 14 species